UACAGAGGGUGCAAGCGUUGUUCGGAAUUAUUGGGCGUAAAGGGCGCGUAGGCGGCGUGACAAGUCACUUGUGAAAUCUCCGGGCUUAACUCGGAACGGUCAAGUGAUACUGUCGGACUAGAGUACAGAAGGGGCAACUGGAAUUCUCGGUGUAGCGGUGAAAUGCGUAGAUAUCGAGAGGAACACCUGCGGCGAAGGCGGGUUGCUGGGCUGAUACUGACGCUGAGGCGCGAAAGCCAGGGGAGCGAACGGG
rnacentral:rRNA from 1 species